GUAGGUGAACCUGCGGAAGGAUCAUUACCGAGUUCAUGCCCUUCGGGGUAGAUCUCCCACCCUUUGUAUACUAUACCUCUGUUGCUUUGGCGGGCCGCCUAGCUACUGGCUUCGGCUGGUAAGUGCCCGCCAGAGGACCCUAAACUCUUGUUUAAUAAUGUCGUCUGAGUACUAUAUAAUAGUUAAAACUUUCAACAACGGAUCUCUUGGUUCUG
rnacentral:misc_RNA from 1 species